AUACGGAGGGUCCAAGCGUUUUCCGGAAUCAUUGGGUUUAAAGGGUCCGUAGGCGGGCAAUUAAGUCAGAGGUGAAAGCCCAUCGCUCAACGAUGGAACUGCCUUUGAUACUGGUUGACUUGAGUUAUACGGAAGUAGAUAGAAUAAGUAGUGUAGCGGUGAAAUGCAUAGAUAUUACUUAGAAUACCGAUUGCGAAGGCAGUCUACUACGUAUAUACUGACGCUGAGGGACGAAAGCGUGGGGAGCGAACAGGAUUAGAAACCCUAGUAGUCC
rnacentral:rRNA from 1 species